rnacentral:rRNA from 1 species
UAGGGAAUUUUCGGCAAUGGGGGAAACCCUGACCGAGCAACGCCGCGUGAGUGAUGACGGCCUUCGGGAUGUAAAGCUCUGUUGUAAGGGAAGAACGGUAGAUAGAGAAUAUCUAAGUGACGGUACCUUACCAGAAAGCCACGGCUAACUACGUGCCAGCAGCCGCGGUAAUACGUAGGUGGCGAGCGUUAUCCGGAAUUAUUGGGCGUAAAGGGUGCGUAGGCGGCCUGUUAAGUAAGUGGUUAAAUUGUUGGGCUCAACCCAAUCCAGCCACCUAAACUGGCAGGCUAGAGGAUUGGAGAGGCAAGUGGAAUUCCAUGUGUAGCGGUAAAAUGCGUAGAUAUAUGGAGGAACACCAGUGGCGAAGGCGGCUUGCUAGCAAAAGACUGACGCUCAUGCACGAAAGCGUGGGGAGCAAAUAGG